UACGUAGGGUGAGAGCGUUAAUCGGAAUUACUGGGCGUAAAGCGUGCGCAGGCGGUUAUAUAAAACAGAUGGGAAAUCCCCGGGCUCAACCUGGGACCUGCCUUUGGGAAUGUAUAGCUAGAGUACGGAUGAGGGGGAUGGAAUUCCGCGUGUAGCAGUGAAAUGCGUAGAUAUGCGGAGGAACACCGAUGGCGAAGGCAAUCCCCUGGACCUGUACUGACGCUCAUGCACGAAAGCGUGGGGAGCAAACAGGAUUAGAUACCCUGGUAGUCCACGCCCUAAACGAUGUCAACUGGUUGUUGGGUCUUCACUGACUCAGUAACGAAGCUAACGCGUGAAGUUGACCGCCUGGGGAGUACGGCCGCAAGGUUG
rnacentral:rRNA from 1 species